UUCAAGCUUUUAGGCUUAGCCAGUUAGCCAUUUGAUUUUCCAAGUUUCCCUUUUCCACUUGGCAUUCUAGUGCCCCUUGUUGGAGUAAUGAUAAGGGUUGCACAAGUUCUUCAAGAGUUUGCUCGAUGUCGAGGUCGUCUGUAGAUCCUCCAUGAGUUCGAUCGGAUUCGAAGCGAUGUUUGGAUCGAAGAGAGUUGACGAUGAGAUGGAGCUCAAGAAGGAGAGAACCGUAAGGCCAAAAGGGAUAAUCUGAAGCAGUCUCACUGCUGAGCAUGAGAGGUGGCAUUUAGACCAGUCCUUUCUAUGUUCAUAUCUUGCUUCUUCUUGAGGAUGUUGGAGUACCAAAAGGCAGAGAGCUUUGGAACCCUUUCACGCUUCUCAUCAUCAAAAUCCACAAAGUAGAGCCCAAAGCGUGAUCUAUACCCAGCCAAGAGCUCAAAUACAUCUAAAAAUGACCACACAAAGUAUCCUCUCACAUCCGAUCCAUUCCUGCAGAAAUGAACAAGGACCAUUGACACAUGCGCAGUAAAUUGGGGAAGUGAAAGUCAAGAAAGAAGGAUAAGAAGAAAGGGAUCUUAUUGAUUCAAGUUCAGGCUGCAUCUAAUACCUGCUAAAUUUUCUCAUAAAAAAUGUAAAUGUUUCAAACCUUUCUUCUUGUAUUGGCCUGCAAAAGAAUCAUGCUAUUUUUUUAUGACAAACAUGUAAACAUAUGCAGGCUGAAGCUCCACAUAAGCCAAACUCUUGAAACUUGCAAAAUGAAAUGGCAGCUUGGCUUGGCUUGAUAGCAAGCUCGCUGUGGUUUGGUAA